rnacentral:rRNA from 1 species
UACGUAGGUGGCAAGCGUUGUCCGGAUUUACUGGGCGUAAAGGAUGCGUAGGCGGACAUUUAAGUCAGAUGUGAAAUACCCGAGCUUAACUUGGGUGCUGCAUUUGAAACUGGGUGUCUAGAGUGCAGGAGAGGUAAGUGGAAUUCCUAGUGUAGCGGUGAAAUGCGUAGAGAUUAGGAAGAACACCAGUGGCGAAGGCGGCUCUCUGGACCGAGACUGACGCUGAGGCGCGAAAGCGUGGGGAGCAAACAGG